rnacentral:rRNA from 1 species
GUCGGUGUCUAUGACGAUGAGGGUCCACCCGUUCCCAUCCCGAACACGGUAGUUAAGCUCAUUAGUGCCGAAGAUACUUAGGGGGCAGCCCCUCGGGAAAAUAGGUCGAUGCCGACA